rnacentral:rRNA from 1 species
GACGAACGCUGGCGGCGUGCUUAACACAUGCAAGUCGAACGAUGAAGCUGGAGCUUGCUCCGGUGGAUUAGUGGCGAACGGGUGAGUAACACGUGAGCAAUCUGCCCUUGACUCUGGGAUAACUGCGGGAAACUGUAGCUAAUACCGGAUACGAGAUUUGGAGGCAUCUCCGGAUCUGGAAAGAAUUUCGGUCAAGGAUGAGCUCGGCGCCUAUCAGCUUGUUGGUGAGGUAAUGGCUCACCAAGGCGACGACGGGGAGCCGGCCUGAGAGGGUGGCCGGCCACACUGGGACUGAGACACGGCCCAGACUCCUACGGGAGGCAGCAGUGGGGAAUAUUGCACAAUGGGCGAAAGCCUGAUGCAGCAACGCCGCGUGAGGGAUGAAGGCCUUCGGGUUGUAAACCUCUUUUAGUAGGGAAGAAGCGAAAGUGACGGUACCUACAGAAAAAGCACCGGCUAACUACGUGCCAGCAGCCGCGGUAA